UCGAGGAUCUUUGGCAAUGGACGCAAGUCUGACCAAGCGACGCCGCGUGAAGGAUGAAGGCCUUCGGGUUGUAAACUUCUGUCGAGGGGGAUCAAGGGCAACUUGAGUGAUCCCUGGAGGAAGCACGGGCUAAGUUCGUGCCAGCAGCCGCGGUAAGACGAACCGUGCGAACGUUGUUCGGAAUCACUGGGCAUAAAGGGCGCGUAGGCGGCUUGUCAAGUCAGGGGUGAAAUCCGGCAGCUUAACUGUCGAAGUGCCUUUGAUACUGACGAGCUCGAGGGAGGUAGGGGUCGCUGGAACUUCCGGUGGAGCGGUGAAAUGCGUUGAUAUCGGAAGGAACGCCGGUGGCGAAAGCGAGCGACUGGAUCUCUUCUGACGCUGAGGCGCGAAAGCCAGGGGAGCAAACGG
rnacentral:rRNA from 1 species